rnacentral:rRNA from 1 species
GACGAACGCUGGCGGCGUGCCUAACACAUGCAAGUUGAGCGACGAACCAGGGCUUGCCCUGGGGCAAAGCAGCGAACGGGUGAGUAACACGUGGGUAACCUACCCCGAUAACCGGGACAACCCGAGGAAACUCGGGCUAAUACCGGAUGUGCUCACUGGACUUCGGUUCAGUGCGUAAAGGAAGCUUCGGCCUCCGUAUCGGGAGGGGCCCGCGGCCCAUUAGUUUGUUGGUGAGGUAACGGCUCACCAAGGCCGCGAUGGGUAGCUGGUCUGAGAGGACGAUCAGCCACACUGGGACUGAGACACGGCCCAGACUCCUACGGGAGGCAGCAGUGGGGAAUCUUGCGCAAUGCGCGAAAGCGUGACGCAGCAACGCCGCGUGGGGGAAGAAGGCCUUCGGGUUGUAAACCCCUUUCAGGAGGGACGAAGGUUCGGCGGUGAAUAGCCGUCCGGACUGACGGUACCUCCACAAGAAGCCCCGGCUAACUACGUG